GUCGCUUUCACGCCUUCCUGCUCCACCUGCUUGGGUCGCUCUCUUUGUCUUGGACUUUUUGUUUUGCCCUUCACAACGUUCCUUGUGCUCCUCGUUUAUCUUCACUGUGUUGUUGAUUUCGUGUAUCUUCUCGCUGUUGUGUGGCCUUGCCUUUUCACCUCAACUCUGUCUCUCUACUCCCCUCCCACUCCCUUCCCCUGAGUGUGCAUCUCCCUUUCUUUUUUUUUUUGCUGCACCAUCUUCCUUCUUCCUCCCACCUCUCCCGCUCUCACUCCAUCGCGGCACUUCGGACGUUCAUCGGAGAGCGCUUUUCGCAGCGCGUGGCCUUAUGUGUUCGCGCGCGUGGGUCUUCUCUCGUUUCGUGUACUAUCCUUCGAUCUCAUUUCCGUGCCGCUCGCGUUGUCUUGGGGGUAGAGCUUGCUCUUGCGUGCUGACUUCCUCUCCAGCGGUCACGCACACACGCGCGAUUCCGUUCUUGGGUGGAUCUUUCCCAGAUUGGUGAAGAGCGCGUUCGAACUCAUUUUUAGGCGGAAACGGAGAGAUCCGCCCACUUAAAGGGAGGGCUUCUGCUUGACAUCGUUCUGCUGUUCUCUCGUCUUCGCUCUUUCUCUCAAAGCAGCUGCGCGGCGAAAUAGACGGCACAAAACGAGGGAAGCCUGCGCCUGCUACUGCCUUGCUGACGGGGUGGGGAACGCAAGCAGCUCACACCGAGAGGGCGGACUGCGCACCCCCCCCCACACACACACACGCACGUGUGUACUCUUGUCGUGUGGCGCACGUGUGCUGGGCAGUCUCCGUGAUUUCAUUGCUCGAAACACCGACAGCGAGAAACCCGGAUGCCUCGGAAGUCGGUGCAGAAACGACGCUUCCCCCUAUUUUUUCUUCCCGCAUUUCGUGUUUGUGCUGUCGCGCGCGCGGGUGCGGCCUAGAAGCUGCUCCAGUGGCGGCCUUUUACCGCUACUGCCACUCGCCCACUACACCAGGACACACUCACUCUUGUAGGUGUGACUACAGAGGAAGAAGCAUCCACGGUUUAAAGGGGAGGUGUGGCGGUGCGCUUCACAGCCGCCCCGUUCCCUCUCUUAUAUUCGCCGAAGAAGCGCAGAGAAGAAAACAAGCAUAUACGCACACGCACACACGUGCGCGCGUACAGAUAUAUACACGUUGGUGAUUGAGAUAUAUAGCGAGGGAGGAGGAGGGCAGUGGAAAGGAGAGCCGAAGUAGGCGUACAGGCUCACGCCAAUAACGCUACGCAGCAGCCCAACAAAAAGCACUGCCCUCAUUCCCCCCUGUCUCUCUCUCGCUCUGCCUCUUCGUGCGGUUGCUCUUACCCUUUCUUUGCUCGCGUUUCGCUUGCGUGUCUCUCUCUUUCUCUCUCCUGUGCGCGCGCGGGAUGUUUGCCCUUCACACACAUGCGGUGCUCAGCUCGUCCUUCCCCUCCUCUCUCGUGUCUGACGGAGAGGCGGUGGCGAACGACGACCACUCCGGCGCGUGCGUGAUGAAGCGAGGGGUGUCGCACGUAGAGAGACUCCCGCGUGAGCUGCUGCUCAAUGUUUUCAUUGAUGUGAUCCGCAACGACGGCGAUAACUUCGGCUGGAUCGGCGUCCUAUCGUGUGUGUGCCGCAGUUGGUAUCAGCUCUGCCAGCACCCAGUGCUGUGGGAGUACGUGGCGAAGCGUAUCUGUGUUGUCUACCCGCUGGUGGUCCGGCUGCACGGCGCGGCACCGUACGACGCGUUGAGUCAGGAAAUCGUGAAUCGGAUGCGCCUUCUAGAGUCGGAGGAGCAGUGCAUCCUGCAGUACGACCCACUCGAGCCCCUCCCCGCCCCGUCGCGGGCGGCACUGCGUAAGACGAUGGAGAAGGUGCGGCGCUACCGUGAGAGCCAGCAGUACUACAAGUACGUGCAGCGGCGGCGCCGUGUGGUGCUGCAUUUUUUCUUGUCCGUUACCUUGUUUUCGGUAGCGCUUGCCAUCACCACGGCGAUGUGCGUGUCAGAGGGGUUUGACAUGGGGGGUCUCUGCAACACCACCAUCGUCUUUGGGCUGCUCUGGAUGGCGUACCUCUGUAUCGUCGCCAUCAUCGUCUCAAAUGUCGUGAUGCAGGCCCACUUCGAGCCUCUGCCGCUGUUGCUGCGACUGCGGCGCAACAAACUGCUGAUCUUUGCUUCUGCCGUGACGAUCCUGCUGGGCAUCUGCGACGUCAUCAUCCCGACGCUGCUGAUUCAGAUCAACCUGGGACGCAAGGAGCGCUUCUCGUGGCUCUGGUGCGGCAUCACCGUCAUCCUUUCCUUCUGUCUCUGGCAGCUGUACACGCUGAUGUACAUCAUGCCCGCGGCGAGGCAGCAGCUGCGGUAUCAAAUGACGCACGUUAAUGUGCGAGAGGGCUUUCAGUUUGUGGUGCUGAACAUCCCGAACGGCUUCCCAUUCCUGUUCGCGGCAGCCUCCUUCUGCGCCCUGCAGUACGUCCAGUACGGCUACCGCAUCUACAUUCUGCUCGGAGGGGUCCCGGUGAUUGUCAGCCUCGGCGUCCUUGCGCUGGUCUUUCUGCUCGACUUCUACUCCCUGCACCGCUUCAAGGACUUGGCGAUGGGCAUCUGUUUCUUCCUCGCGAUGCUCUUCCCCAUUUCGCUGCUCGUGUGGGAGUUCCGCGGGCUGUGCUUGCUGCCUCUCGCCGCGGCGGCCUUUGGCAUCUUUUUCGCCCACGCCCGCUACGUUGUCAGCUCCGCCAUUCACGAGCUGAUGCGCACCAUCCGCGCCGAACGCAACGGCUGCAUUCUCCGCACCCCUGAUGCAAACAAGAAGAACUAGGGGGCAAGGGGCGUGUGCGUGUGUGUGUGUGUGUGCAGCAGUGGUUGCUCGCGGCAGUGCUGUCAGAACUUGACGGUGUUGACGUCGGCGCUGCGUCUUCCUGCUGUGCCCUGCUCUCCAUUUUGUCGUCGUGUCCUGCGUGUGCAUGUAUUACGGUGAAGGUGUUCCGUGGUGAUUGAGUGCUGAAGGCGAAUUCUUGCAUUCUCUAUUCUUGCCCAGAAAGUGAGGACGCCAGUCCCUGCAAAAUCCUCUUUCUACCUGUCCUUUGCCUGCUCAUCCUCUUCGCCUUCUGUGUGUGUUACUCGGAACAGAACGGCGCGAUGAGGCCAAGGGUGGGCGACUGAGCUUCUUUUUUCUCUCUGUCUCUGCUGCAAGUGCUAUCUUUAUUCUACCUGGUCAGUGCUGCUUUUCGUGUUCAUUUGCUUGAGAACGGGCCGCAGUGACCAUAUGGGCUCCUCAUUCUCUCGUUCUUUCCACUGUCUGCAUCUUCAUAGUACGCCCCGCCCACCCAACCUCCUUCGUGCCCCCCACCCGGUGAGGCAGGAGGCGGGAGGGACAGGCGGCACCACACUCUCGUCCGUGCGCGCGCGCACACACACACACACACGCAGGCAGGACAAAACGAG
rnacentral:misc_RNA from 1 species